rnacentral:rRNA from 1 species
UACGUAGGGUGCGAGCGUUGUCCGGAAUUAUUGGGCGUAAAGAGCUCGUAGGCGGUGUGUCGCGUCGGCCGUGAAAACCUGCAGCUUAACUGUGGGCUUGCGGUCGAUACGGGCAUCACUGGAGUUCGGCAGGGGAGACUGGAAUUCCUGGUGUAGCGGUGAAAUGCGCAGAUAUCAGGAGGAACACCGGUGGCGAAGGCGGGUCUCUGGGCCGAUACUGACGCUGAGGAGCGAAAGCGUGGGGAGCGAAUGGG